rnacentral:rRNA from 1 species
UAGGACACUCUAUACGGAGUUACAAAGGACGACAUUAGACGAAUCAUCUGGAAAGAUGAAUCAAAGAAGGUAAUAAUCCUGUAGUCGAAAAUGUUGUCUCUCUUGAGUGGAUCCUGAGUACGACGGAGCACGUGAAAUUCCGUCGGAAUCUGGGAGGACCAUCUCCUAAGGCUAAAUACUCUCUAGUGACCGAUAGUGAACCAGUACCGUGAGGGAAAGGUGAAAAGCACCCCGGAAGGGGAGUGAAAUAGAACCUGAAACCGUGUGCUUACAAGUAGUCAGAGCCCGUUAAUGGGUGAU